UACGUAGGGUGCGAGCGUUAAUCGGAUUUACUGGGCGUAAAGGGCGCGUAGGCGGCCGGGCAAGUCUGGUGUGAAAGCCCAGGGCUUAACCCUGGAAGGGCACUGGAAACUGUGCGGCUUGAGUGCCGGAGAGGAGGGGGGAAUUCCCGGUGUAGCGGUGAAAUGCGUAGAUAUCGGGAGGAAUACCGGUGGCGAAGGCGCCCCUCUGGACGGUAACUGACGCUGAGGCGCGAAAGCGUGGGGAGCAAACAGG
rnacentral:rRNA from 1 species